GCGGGCGUGGCGAAAUCGGUAGACGCGCCGGCCUUAGGAGCCGGUGGGCUAAACGCCCUUGGGGGUUCAAGUCCCUCCGCCCGCA
rnacentral:tRNA from 1 species